CUACCGGGGUAUCUAAUCCUGUUUGCUCCCCACGCUUUCGCGUCUCAGCGUCAGUAACGUCCCAGCGAGCUGCCUUCGCAAUAGGUGUUCCUCCUGAUAUCUGCGCAUUUCACCGCUACACCAGGAAUUCCACUCGCCUCUUCCGCACUCUAGCCCGACAGUAUCCACCGGCAUUCGAGGGUUGAGCCCCCGACUUUCACAGCGGACUUACCGGACCGCCUACACGCGCUUUACGCCCAAUGAUUCCGGACAACGCUAGCCCCCUACGUAUUACCGCGGCUGCUGGCAC
rnacentral:rRNA from 1 species